GUCAGUUCACCUCACGGUUGGAGCCGGCGGGGGCUGAGCGGGGACUCUUCAGCGCCCCUUCCCCGCUCAGGUCCGGGAGCCCGCGUGUCGGGCCGUCAGUCGGUCCUCACGCCGCGCCGAGGGACAUGGCCUUCAUUUGAAGAAGUUGCUUGCUUUUCUGAUCCUGUCUAACUGCUGCUGCAGAAUCCCAGGAGGAGGCCUGCUUUCUCCUGGAAUGAUCACUGAGGUUCGCUUCAGUAAGUCAGUUAAACCUUGGCUGGCUCGCUGUUGUGUUCGGGAGCAGGGAGCCCGGAAGACAGAAGGUUCCUGAUGAGCCAAGGCAGGCCGGGGUCGGGGGCACCCCCAACAGGGUUACAAGUAGUCACCGAGCCCUCCAGCAUCCCAUUUCUUCCCCAGCAGGUGUCUUCUGCCUCCUUGUCACUUAUGGUCGCCUCUGAGGGAAACUCAGGGUUUGGAGAAGGGAGAAGGAGAGUCGUCUUCUAGUCUGUUAUCUUCUUGGAACAAGGAUAGGAUGUGGAUACAAGUCAGGCCUGUGUAGAGAAAUAGGCCUUGGUUCAAAGUCACCUCAUCAUGAUAUCUGUGUGACCAUAGGCCAGAGACCCACUGUGCGGCAUCUAAAAGCAGGACCAGUGUGGUGCUUGUCAGGGGCUGUCAACAGUGGACACACUCAUGGGCACCUCGCUAUCAGAUGGCCCGACAGCAAUGUCAUAGGAACCACAUUUCCUAAUUCAGGAGGGCUUUGACAGGCCAGCUCACACCUGCAGGCGUGGGGACCCUGGCCUGUUUCAGAACUGGUACCAGACAGACCUCGAACAUCACCUCACCUGUGAGUGAGCCCAGGAGAGGACAAAUCUCCAUCCUUAGUUCAGUGGGUCCUUGCAGAAAGGAUUUGUGAGCCAGCCUGCAAAGGAGGAAGAGGAAAAGGGAAAGAGGUGACAUCUGUCAGAUGCCUAUUAAGUUCGGGCUCAAGACUUUUCACAUAUAUUUGUUUCCUGUUAUUUACACGGUGCCUGUUUCUACAGCCUCGCCGCUUACCCUGGUCACCAUUUGACUCCUCCACCCCCUGCUUUGGGUGUCAUAAUAAUCCUUCACAUUCAUCUGGUCUCACCCAGUGGUUAUCUUCUUUCCCAAAAAAGCCCAUGAAGAAAAAGAACGAAAAACCCCACAUGCUCUCGCUUAAAUAUGGAAUCUAAAGAAGUCAAACGUAUAGAAGCCACGCUGGAGAACCAUGGUUCACGGGUGCUGGAGAAUGGGGGAAAUGUUGGUCAAAGAGCGCAAAGUUGCAGUAAUGAAGGAUGACCGUCUCCAAAUCCCUAAUAUGCAGAUGGAAAUACGCUAAGAGAGUGGAAUGCAGGUGCUCUCAUCACUAAAAGGCAGAAGAUUACAUACAAAUGGAAGAGACCAGAAAGAGCCAGAAAGGCAGAGAGGAGCCCCUAGGUUUGGCACUGGAUCUGUAAGCCCCCAGCAGGAUGGGAGCUGACCUCUCUCUCCCACCACCAGCCCCCUAGGGCCCAGCUUGAUGCCUGACUCAGAGAAGGAGACACAUAAACAUUAUCUGGGGAAUCGCUGACUGGAUUUGAUUUCCAGCUCCUGCAUGUACUUGAUUUUGACCCGAGACAUGUCUAGCAAGAAGUUGCUGCAGCCGAGGUCAAAGAGGUUGCCUUACUCAGCCAUCAAAAAGAAUGAAACCUUGCCAUUUGCUAUGAUGUGGAUGGAACUAGAGGGUAUUAUGUUAAGUGAAAUAAGUCAUUCAGAGAAAGACAAAUACCACAUGAUUUCACUCAUGUGGAAUUUAAGAAACAAAACAGAGGAACAUAGUGGAAGGGAAGGAAAAAUAAGACAAAAACAGAGAGAGGCAAAUCACAAGAGACUGUUAACUCUAGGAAACAAACUGAGGGUUGCUGGAGGGGAGCUAAGAGGGGGAUGGGGUAACUGGGUGAUGGGCAUUAAGGAGGGCACUUGAUAUAAUGAGCACUGGGUCUUUUAUGCAACUGAUGGAUCACUAAAUCCUACCCCUAAAAUUAGUAAUACAUGAUAUGUUAAUUAAAUUGAGUUUCAAUGAAAAUUUUUAAAAAAUGGGGUGCCUGUGUGGUGCAGUUGGCCAUCAUGCCUAUUCCCAGUGAGGUGGAACAAGGUAAUGCCCUGCCUUGUUGUUUCAGUUACACCAUGAGCAAGUAUCCUUUUAUAGUCUACUUAGGACUCCGUGUUUUGCAUUUUUGUGCUUUUUUGGCGAUUUUCCUGCUUAAACUGUGUCUUCAGUAAGUGGUGUUGGGAAAACUGGACAACCACAUGCAGAAGAAUGAAACUAGACCACUUUCUUACACCAUACACGAGAAUGAACUCAAAAUGGAUAAAGACCUGAAUGUAAGUCCUGAACCCAUAAAACUCUUAGAAGAAAACACAGGUGGUAAGCUCAUUGACAUUGGUCUUGGUGAAGAUUUUUUGAAUCUAACAAAUGUUGCUUUGCUUCUACACAGCAAAGGAAAGCAUCAAUGAAAUGGGAAAGCAACCUCCUGAAUGGGAGAAGGUAUUUGCAAAUCAUAUAUCUGAUAAAGGGGUAAUAUCCAAAAUAAAAAGAAUUCCAACUCAAAAGCAAAAAACAAACAAACAAAAAAACCACUGAACGAUCUCAUUAAAUAUUCAGAUCCUCUUAGAGGAUCUGAAUAGACAUCUUUCCAAAAAAGACCUACAGAUGGACAACAGGUACAGGAAAAGAUGAUCAACACCACCCAUCAUCAGGAAAAUGCAAAUCAAAACUAAAAUCAGAUACUACCGCACACCUGCCAUAAUGGGUAGAACCAAAAAGACAAGAAAUAACAAGUGUUGGUGAGGGUGUGGAGGAAGGGCAACCCUCCUGCGCUGUUGGGAAUGCAAACUGUAGCAACCGCCAUGGAAAAGAGUAUGGAAGUUCCUCAAGAUAAAAAUAGAUGCAGAAAUUCCCCUUCUAGGUAUUUAUUCAAAGAAAAAUGAAAACAACUAAAAAAGAUGUGUACCCCAAUGUUUAUUGCAGCAGUAUUUACAAUAGCCAAGAUAUGGAAACAAACUGUCUAUUGAUAGACAAAUGGAUAAAGAAAUUGUGUAUAUAUAAAUGGAAUAUUAUCCAGCCAUAAAAAGAAUGAAAUCCUGCCAUGGGCUACAAUGUGGAUGGAGCUCAAGGGUACUACACCAUGUGAAUAAGUCAGACAGAGGGAGACAAAUGCUAUAUGAUCCCUUAGAUAUGCAAUCAGGAAAAAAACCCCAAAAACCAAAAAAUAAAAAAAAUAAAAAAUAAA